rnacentral:tRNA from 1 species
GGCUAAAUAAUAGAGAGGUAAUGUAUUGGAUUGCAAAUCCUAGAAAGAUGGUUCAAAUCUGUCCAUUGCCU